GGGGUGAUCAAUAUGAUCUCUGAAUGAUCGAAUUGGGAGGCAACUUCCGAAGAAGAGUCGGUGAAAUGACAACGACUCAACAAUGUAAUAAUUUUUUCGGAAGAAGAUGUUCGGAGAAUUCAGACUCUCCAUGAUGAUGCUAUUGUCGUCUCAGCAAUGAUAGUAAAUUAUGAUGUAAAAAAAAUCCUUGUAGAUAAUGAAAGUUUAACUGAUGUUCUAUUUUACUAGACUU
rnacentral:lncRNA from 1 species